GUAGGUGGCAAGCGUUGUCCGGAAUUAUUGGGCGUAAAGCGCGCGCAGGCGGGGGGUUUUUUAAGUCUGAUGUGAAAGCCCACGGGCUCAACCGUGGAGGGUCAUUGGAAACUGGAGAACUUGAGUACAGAAGAGGAAAGCGGAAUUCCACGUGUAGCGGUGAAAUGCGUAGAGAUGUGGAGGAACACCAGUGGCGAAGGCGGCUUUCUGGUCUGUAACUGACGCUGAGGCGACGAAAGCGGUGGGGAGACAAACAGGAUUAGAUACCCUGGUAGUCCACGACCGUAAACGAUGAGUGCUAAGUGUUAGGGGGUUUCCGCCCCUUAGUGCUGCAGCUAACGCAUUAAGCACUCCGCCUGGGGAGUACGGCCGCAAGGCUG
rnacentral:rRNA from 1 species